rnacentral:rRNA from 1 species
CCUACGGGUGGCAGCAGUGAGGAAUAUUGGUCAAUGGCCGAGAGUCUGAACCAGCCACGUCGCGUGAGGGAAGAAUGUCCUAGGGAUGGUAAACCUCUUUUGUCAGGGAGCAAAGUCACCCACGUGUGGGUGUAGGAGAGUACCUGAAGAAAAAGCAUCGGCUAACGCCGUGCCAGCAGCCGCGGUAAUACGGAGGAUGCGAGCGUUAUCCGGAUUUAUUGGGUUUAAAGGGUGCGUAGGCGGGUUAUCAAGUCAGCGGUAAAAUCGUGGACCUCAACUCCGUACAGCCGUUGAAACUGAUGAUCUUGAGUGGGCGAGAGGUAUGUGGAAUGCGUGGUGUAGCGGUGAAAUGCGUAGAUAUCACGAAGAACUCCGAUUGCGAAGGCAGCAUGCCGGCGCCUGACUGACGCUGAUGCACGAAAGCGUGGGUAUCGAACAGGAUUAGAUACCCGAGUAGUC